CACGAAGUAAAGGAGUUCUCAUUAAUUGUGAAGGGUUUACACAAGUACAUAGGUUCAAGCUCUCCUUUAGUCUAGUGAAUGAUUUAGUACAAAUGACAUUAGGAAAUAUUGUGAGAAAAUGAUCUCUAUUUAUAGAAGAGAGUUUCUAGUUUCAUUCUGAUAUUAACACGUGUCAUGCUGUGAUUGGCUUCUGAUGUUGACACAUGUCGCACUAUGAUUGGCUUUUGAUGUCGACACGUGUCGUGCUGUGACUGGCCUCCUGGUUGGAGGGAAACUCUUCUGGAUCCUUGACGGUAUAACGUUGAUCAGUGCUCAGUAGUUUCGGGAUUGGUCAAGUAUGGUACAAACAAUUUGUAUUCACACAAACAAGAUAUCACUCCAAGAUUUUCUACACAGCAAAAAAACUCAAUAAACUUCAACUUCUAGCUUUGGCCUUUAUAAAAAACAGAUACUUUUUCUUCAAUCACUAACACAGACAUGACAAUUGGCCUUUUUCAUCUUUAAUCAAUCACUAGCAAUCGGCACUUUUCAACUUUAACCAAGAUUCACAAAUUUGGCAAUUGGUCCUCACAAAAAUGGCAAUUGGCCUUCAAAGUAUGUAAUACUAGUCUACUUAGCACAUUAACAUAUAUGUAAUCUCAACAUCAAUUAAACAAAUCCAGAUCUUUAACACAUAAUUAGCUUAAGAAAUCAAGAAUCCAAAAUGAUGUGUUGUAGGAUUUCAAACAUAGAACCUGAAAUUUCCCAUGAUUCAACUUUAUCAGCAUACAUCACCAUGACCAUCAGAGUAACGGAAACAGAAGAGAGAGCAGCACAAAUCGCAACAAACAUGUUGAAGAAACAACCCAGAUGAAAAACCUAGAUGAAAUCUUCAACCAGAAACUUCCCCAAAAGAAAAUUUGCUUCACACUUUCACUAGUACAUAGAAUCGGAGGCUCUCGAUACCAUUCUAAUAGUACUGAUAUACUGCCAUUGAUGAACAACUAAGAAAUUACAGAGAAAGAUUAAAGAGGAUUUUAGAGAGAGAAUACGAAGUAAGAGAGAAAGAAAGAGAAUCAAAAUUGUUUCAUUGAUUGAGAAAUGAAUCAUUACAAGGGGUAUAUAUAUGUGCUAAUGGUAACAACCUAGGCUGAUGUGGCAGUACACCUCAUCAUAAAUCUAACUAACUCAUUACACAACCAACAAUUCUAACUAACCCAAUGAGAGAGUUACAGAUGACAUAUUCAGUUUUAAUGGUUGUUAGAGGAGAGGGGGUUGGGAAUGAGUCAAAUUUAAGCUUUUUGUGAAUAUGGGCAUAAUACCCUCCCUUCAUCUAAGAGUAACUAAUAAAUAAUGGUUCCUGCCUAAGACUUGACUUGUAUAUGGAUGUCUUAUUUUUUCUUCAUGACAUGCCAUUAGAGUUUGUGUUUCAUUGUUGGUUUGAUUUCUUAUGAUACAUGCAUGGAUAGCAUUGCUUAAAUAUUUGGGGCAUGCAUGCUAUACUUAAAAUACCUUUUUUUAUAGCUCAUUGAUAAACUUCCCACGUGAAAACAAAUCAGUUAUGUUCACUAAGCUCUAGAUGUAUUUCCUUUUACAAUAAGAGUUAUAUAAUAAUCUUCUUUAACGUUUGGGUUAUUGAUCAAUAUGAAUACGCUUCACGUAGUAUCUGUUGUUUUGUUACCAGCCAGUAUGGCCAUCUUGUAUUCCAAUUAACCUUUGGUAAAUUCAUUAACUUAUUGAUCUCAUGUUAAUAUUUAUGCAAGUAAAAUUGGAGACAUUUCUCGAUGCGAUUAGUAGUGGAAUACCGAUUAAUUAGGUGCAUUUUGUUAAGCAAUUGGUUCAUUGUAGAUAGUGAUAGAUGAUGACAGAUGUGGCACAAAAUUAUUUUUGAAACUUUUUAUAACUUCCGUACAUACGUCUUGCAACUAUGUGUAGUGGUUUAGAGAAUCAAUGGGGAAGUGUUUUUUGCUUUGACCAAAACCCUUGUGAGUUGCCUCUAGUCCGUAGAAAAAAAAUAAGAUCAGGCAAUUGGUCAUGUUAAAUUCCAUCCCUGGAUUUCAAUAUUUAAAUUUUGUAUUUCUUAGUUGUUAUGGGGUAUUUUUGUUUUGGUCGUAGAAUUUUUUUCGAAUUUGAAAGGACAAAAAAUGCUGCUAAACGAAAUUCUAUGUGGACAUUUUAGAUGCUUUGAUGCUUUUCCUCAUUUCUUGGCAUAUUUGGAUAGUACGGGUCAAUACAAACACAUGGAAGCAAGUGGAACAAAAUUUGGAGUUAACAAGAAGAUUCUAUGAGACUCGGAGUUCAUGGGCAAUUUGGUAAUUUGACCAUUAUUUGGACACAUGUUGUUUGUCUUUUUGUAGACUUAUUUUGUGUGCCCAUGGGGGCCCCUUCCCAUUUCCUAGAGGGAUCUCUCUCUCUUUUCUCUCUCGACCUCACUAGUCUUUCUCGAACUCUCUCAUCUUCUCCCUUAGCUCAAACACACACUAUAGUCACACAACCACUUUUCCAGCGAGCUUCGAUCAACAAAUACCACCACCAUGCUCACUCGUCCCCAUAAACCUAGUCGUGGGUUUUGUUUCGUAAAAAGCUGGACAAAACUUGAGAAACUACUAGCUACAGGCAAGCUGAGUUUUAUGUCCAAUUUCAGGCCAUCUUCGACCACUUCUCGGACUCCAAAUAGGUAUACACUUGUUCUCCUCUUCUCUAGCUUCAUUUUGACAUAAGGAUCAUAGAAUUUGGUUAUGAAUUGAACAACAUGGCAAUUUAAACUUUUCCCAGUUUUCUAGCAAAAUCCCUAGUUCCGGUGAAUUCAACGACAGCAGGCGCCGGCGACCAAAGGGAAAGAAGGAGAAUGAGGAAUAUUUUGUUAACUAUUUGGAAUAUUCUUUAAUGCCAACAUGAAUUACAUCAACAAUCUGUUAAAUUUAACAGAAUAUAUGUCCUAACCCCGCGUGUGAGGGCGCGUGACCGGGGUGUGACGGCGUAUCGCUGACGACCCAAAGUGUCUUUCUAGGAUAAAUUCAAUUCCUGAAUCUGUUUUUAGCAUCCAUUUAACGUAAUUCCACUAUUUUAACCUAGUUUUGUAGUUGGCCACCAUUUAAACUUGUAGUUGUAGUUGACGUGUACAACCUAGUGUUACAUGGUUUAAUCACAAAAUUUUUGAGAUGGGACUUGAUCUUUGUUCUAGGCAGUGAUUGUAUGUGAGCACCCCUUGAUCAUUAUUCGAGGGUGCUUUAGCCAACUCCCGGUUAUUGACUUUAAUAUUUGUGACAUAUGUGAUAUUGGUUUUUAGUGAAUAUGGCAUGAUUUUAUGAAUGUGUUUUAUGGUAAAUUGUUAUUUUUAAAUUCUGUCAUCGCUCUAUUUUAUGAAAUGUGAUUUGAAAUGCAUAUUUGAUAUGUUUGUGAAAUGUGAGGGCUAGUAGAGGACCAUUAUCCCAUUACCAUAUGGAGUUGUCACAUCGAGCUUGUGUCAUGUCUUUUUUCGUUGAGCCAUUCUAAACUAUGUGUCUAGAAUUCUACUCGGUUCCAUUGAUGGCCCAGAACUGUGUUCCGCUGGAGUUUCAUUGAGUGGUUUGGUACCCUACUUCUUCUAGAUUUCGUUGAGUGGUUUGAAAUCCCUCUUCAUGUGCGAUUCCGUUGAGUUGUGCAAAAUCGUGUUCUGUUCAGAUUCUGUUGAGUGGUCAGAAUCUUGAUUCUUUUCGAUUUUGUUGAGUGGUCCGGAACCUUGUCUUUGUCAGAUUCCGUUGAGUGGACCGGAAUCCCUCUUCAUAUUCACUUUCGUUGAGUGGUCCAAAACCCAAUCUUCGUUGAAUUUCGUUGAGUCGUCCAAAAUCUCAUCCCCUUAUCUAUGUUGGAUCCAUGUUGGUCUAGAAUGUAGAAGCUUAAGAAAUGUAGGCUUCGGCCGAACAACCCUACAUAUGUAAGUGUAUAUGUAGGAAACAAUAACAUCAUUAUAGUCCUGAUA
rnacentral:lncRNA from 1 species